GAUUAAGGCCUGUGGAUCCUGUCCCUUUAUUCUGGAGGCUUCCAUAACUUUGGUCCCUGCAGCUGUGGAGUCGUACUAAGACCACAUGAGGGUGCUGGUCUGAGCCAGGCCUGCGCAUAAUGAUUCAUUGGGCCCUUUCAACUUUCACCCGGUCCGACGCAGGUUCCAGACCAAGAAAUUGUGGCAGCCAGCUGCAGCCCCACAAUGCAAAUGUUCUUCUGCCUACCUCUGUUUUCAAGGCCAUCGACUUGCCCCUGUAAGCUACUCCUCAUGCUUGUGAACCAUGGCUGUGACCGGGUCCAGUCUGGCGCGGAACUUCUCUUCGAACGACAAGUCGAUUAUCUCUGAGUUUUACAAACUCUGUAGCCAGGGCCUGGUGAGUGAACGACUCUGAUGGGCUGGUCGAGGAGCUGCAGUUGCUUCCGUGGAAGUGUCCGACUUCUCAGAUUCCUAUGCUUCCUGUGUUUUGGUUUCCAAGAUGGCAGCUCAAGCUGGAGCUCUGUGCUUGUUCUUCUUGUUCUCCCUGUCUCUUGGCUUCGAACACCCAGGCCCAGCUUCUAAAGUGAGGUGGGCAAUCACUGGUCUGAUGGGGGAUGCCAGGGGCUGGAGCUGGGAUGCCUGCGACCAGCAGCCCAGUGUGGAGCAUGGUAGCAGCCAGAUCACACGUGGAAGUCCUCUGCACUGGUUUGCUUCGGGAAGCCCUUGGAGAGACUGUGAUGUCUAUCUUUUUAACUUGCUUCUUGUUUUUCAGACCAAUAGUUAUACUGUUG